ensembl:snoRNA
GGCGAGACUAGAGUCACGUCCUUACAUUCCUCCAUUGUUCUGAUGUGCUAUAGUCCUCGUAGAGCAAUACUCUUUGCAUAUUCAUUGGCUGCUGCUUUUUGUUGCGUAGCCAAUCACCAGCUCAGAUACAGAC